rnacentral:lncRNA from 1 species
UGUAAAAUAUCUAAAACAAAAUUUAAAUAAUAGCUAAGAAGAAUUAUCCAUCCAUCCUUGCUGUCAUGGUUCACGUGAGGUAGUCUUUCAUCCAGUCUGGUUGUUUCUUGGUUCUCUCAGGUCUAGAAUUGAGUUGUUGAUUUGCUUCUGUAAAAUCAUUACUAGGCUCCUUGUCCACGGGCUUGGCUCCUUCUUCCUCUCUUGGCAAAAUGGUCAGUGGAUCUAAUUUGAUUGGCAAGCUCGUAUCAUUCCCCCUCUCUUGGAAAGUGCAAAGCAAGAUAUUGUUGACAAAAAGCUCCAAAAUUUUCCCAGGUUACGUUUUAAGGAGAGCUACUUGUCCACUGCACAAAGACUUGUGGGACCAAUUUUCCUUUGCUGUAACACUGUGCGAGUAGCAUAAAUAACUGUUGGUAAAGACAAGGGGUGAUUGUCGAUGUUGUAUUUUGGUAGUGGAGAAAUUUUGAGAAGAGUGGAGCCAUGAAAUGGUUUAAGUAAGGAAACAUGAAAAACAUGAUGAAUUUUCGAUGCCGGAGGUAACUCAAGCUUAUAAGCAAUAGGACCUAUGCGAGCGAUUACUGUAAAAGGUCCAUAGUAGCGUUUGGCCAAUUUAUGACAUGAAUGUGAAGCUACUGUGUACUGGCAGUACGAUUGAAGCUUGACCAGCACCUUAUCUCCAACAGAAAACUGAACUUCUCGGCGAUGAGUAUUAACUUUUUGGGUCAUUCGAUGUUGAGCUUGACGCAAGUUAUCUUUCAAAGAUUUCAACAGUUUAUCACGCUCGAGAAGGAUUUCAUCCAAAGCUUGGAUUGAAGUAGAGCUUUUCACAUAAGGAGGAAUUGUGGGCGGAAGUCUACCAAACAAUGCCUGAUAUGGAGUCAUGUUUAAACCGCUAUGGUAGCUGGAAUUGUAACAGAAUUCUGGCCAACUAAGAAGUGAAACCUAAGUCUUCAGUUUGUCUUGUGUGAAGGCACGAAGAUAUUGCUCAAGACUGCGAUUGACAACCUCCAUCUGGCCAUCUGUUUGCGGAUGAUAGGCCGUGCUGUGGUGUAGAGAGGUGCCACUAAGAGUCAACAACCGAUCCCAAAACUGACUCAAGAACACAGGAUCGCGAUCCGAAAUAAUAAAGCUAGGGAAGCCAUGAAUUUUAACCACAAUGUCAAUAAAUAACUCUGUAAUUUUAUGGGCCGUGAAGUUACCUGGUAAUAGACCGAAAUGGGUCGAUUUCGUCAGCCUAUCUACCACAACCAAAAUAGCAGAAUAACCGUGAGACAAAGGCAGUCCUGUGAUGAAAUCCAUAGUGAUUUUGUCCCAAACCAAACUUGGAAUAGGUAAUGGUUAAAGAAGACCAGCAUAGGCUUUAGUUGAAUACUUUGUUUGUUGACAUAUUAAGCAUUCUAUGACAAAUUUUUCAAUAUCACUCCGCAUGUGAAACCAAAAGAAAUUGGCUGACAAUCUAAUGUAAGUCUUGUUGAUGCCAACGUGCCCUGCCAAUGGGGUUGAAUGAAACUCCUUUAAUAAGGCUGCUUUCGAAGAAGAUUCAACACUAAUUUAAUAUUUUCCUUUGUAGAGAAGUAUUCCAUUAUGAAUGGAAUAGUCAGCCGUGAACUGCCCUGAAGAAACUUGGUGAUGAAGCUUGAGAAGGUCAUGACAAAUCGAAUUUUCCCGCAAUAAUUCCUUAAGGAGAUUGAAGGAAGGGCUACUAUGAAGAAAUAAACAAAAAGAGCUCGCAUACUUGUUUUCAAUUGGCUCUAUUUCUUUGGAGGCUGCAUGGACUCGGGAUAAGGCAUUAGUCGUUCGGUUUGUAGGCCCGGUUUAUACUCAAUCCGAAAUUGAAAACCAAGUAACUUCCGCAGAUAAACUUGCUGAUCAGGAGUCUGGAUCACUUGUUGUAGUAGUUCCUUGAUGUUUCGAUGGUCUGUGCGUAUUACAAAGAACCUGCCCAAGAGGUAUUGCCGCCAUUUGGAGACUGCUUCUACAAUCGCAUGCAAUUCUUUUAAGUAAGUGGAUGAAGCUCUUAGUUUUGGCCCAAUUGUUUUUUGCUGAAAUAAGCCACUGGAUAGCCCUAUUGCAUAAGGACUACUCCAAUUCCUAAGUUACUGGCAUCUGAUUCAAUCACGAACUCAGAAUCAAAAUUGGGUAAUUUGAGCACCGGAGCUUGAACCAUUGCUUGCUUAAGGGAUUCAAAUGUUGUUGUGGCUUCAGGAUUCCGUUGAAAUGCAUCUUUACAUAACAAGUCGGUUAAAGGAGCGGCCAAGGAAACGUAGCCAUGAAUGAACCGUCGGUAGUAGCCCGUAAGGCCAAGGAAAUCUCUCAACUGCUUGGUAGUUUGCGGCAGUGGCCACUCGAGCAUGGCGGUCACCUUUUGGGGAUCAGCUUGCACUCCCAUAAUAGAAAUAAUGUGACCAAGAUAUUUAAUGCUUGAUUUACAAAAGAGACAUUUGCUCAAUUUAACAAAAAAAUUAAUGAAUUUGCAAACAUAAUAGUACCUGUUCAAGGUGAAUUAAAUGGUCAGCCAUGGUAGCGCUAUAAACCAAGAUGUCGUCGAAGAAGACGAUCACAAAUUUUCGAAGAUAGGCAGCAAAUAUCUGAUUCAUAGUGGCUUGGAACGUCGAGGGCGCAUUCGUCAAACCAAACGGCAUAACAAGAAAUUCAUAAUGGCCUUUAUGUGUCUGAAAUGCCGUUUUGUAAAUGUCUCAAGAGCGGACUUGAAUCUGAUGGUAUCCAGCUCUCAAGUCUAAUUUACUGAAGACCGUAGCCUUGCCAAGUUCAUCAAAGAGUUCGUCAACAGUAGGAAUCAAAAAUUUAUCUGGGAUUGUAACUACAUUUAGAGCACGAUAAUCCACACAAAAGUGAUAUGUGCCAUCUUUCUUUUUCACUAAAAGCACUGGGGAAGAGAAAGGACUUUGGCUGGGUCAUAUGAUUCCUUGGUCAGACAUCUUUUUAAUUAGUUUCUUCAUUUCAUUCUUCUAGAAGUGUGGAUAUCGGUAGGGGCAUACAUUGAUAGGGGAAGUGUUUGGAAGGAGGUGUAUUUUGUGGUCUAUAAUUCUGUGUGGUGGAAGGGUUGUGGGUGAUAAAAAUAGAUGAUGAUAUUAGUGGAGAAGGUCACGGAAUUGGGGUGGUAAAUCAGUUGGAAAUUCUAAUUGGGAAGGAGGUGUUUGUCUUGGAGAGGACUCUAUUGGCAAUGAAGAUAAAGGUUGAAGAGCACAAAAACUUGAAAUUGCAAUGCUGUGGACCAGUGCCCUAAAUUGAUUAUAAGUGACUAAAGUUGGAGAUGUAGAUACGUCACCUCGAAGAAUAAUCGAUUUUUCAUUAAAAGAAAAUUCCAUGGAGAGCGCCGAAUAAUCAUGCGAUACCCUCCCUAAUUGUUGCAACCACUGUAUCCCAAGAACAAUGUCAACUCCCUUGAUAGGCAAGACAAAAAGGUCCAAUGGAAACUUUGUGCCUUGUAGUGUUAAGUGAACUUGCUGACAAAAUUGAGUGCACAACAAAAAAUCACCAUUUCCUAUGUAGACGCGAAAUGGUGUUGUUGGCUGAAUGGCGAUGUCGGCGCAUUCCGCCACUGAUGGCUUGAUAAAGUUAUGAGUGCUACCAUUGUCGAUUAAUACUUGGAAGGUGUGGUAUCCAAUCCUGCCCUGUAAACGAAGGGAACGAGGAUUUGCUUGUCCAGCGAGAGCAUUUAGACUUGAGAUAUCGCCAGUGACAGCGGAUUCGUCUUCGUCUGGUGGUUCCCCUUUUUUGGUCGGGUCUAAAUUAUCAUCGUCGGCUCUGAUAAGUAACAAGAACCAGUGACAGUAACGGUGAUUGGGAUUGUACUUCUGGUCACAAGAGUAACAGAGACCUUUCUCGCGUCUCUCGUGUAGCUCAGUAGGGGAUAAUUGACGGAUGGGUAAAUUUGGAGUGGGGAGAAGUGCGGGUAAAAUGUUUGUUUUAUUGUUAAUGUGUGGUGGUGGAGGUUUUGAUGAUGGUGGGUUAGCACUUAUGGUGGAGGAAAUUGGAAGGGAAGGCAUGGGUAAAGGAACGGUUUUGGUUUAUGUGUUUGUAAUGGAAGGAAAUAUUGACUGUGGCUGCCAUUUAGACUAGGAGCAAUUGUGUUGUUUAGUGUCAUUAAAUUUGGCUUUAAGCGCUCGAGCCAUAGCAAAGGUUUCCACGAGUGUUGCUGGCCGAUUAAAGAGAAGUUCUCGCCUGAUGUCCUGCUGCAGGCCGGUUAUGAAAAAAACUGAUGAGAAGUUGCUCGGAAACGCCAUUAACUCUGUUCAUGAGUUAUUCAAAAGCCGAUUGAAAUUCAACGACAGUGGUGGUUUGGGUGAGUUUAGACAGCUCGCCUUGUGGAUCAUCAUAAAGGGUAGUUGCAAAACGAUACUUCAGAUUAGCCAAAAAUUCUUUCCAAGUUGUGAGUAAAUUGUUGGAUUUCAUCCACUGAUACUAGCCUACUGCUCGACCCUCCAGGUAUUACAGUAGGAAAUGCCUAAAUAUAUUUUCUUUGAACAAUUGCAACUGUUGCUUUGUUAAUUUUUCCCGGAUGGCAUUAACAACGACAUCUAAUUUGCACAUACUCGUGAUACGCCUGGGAAAGUGAUCAGCAUUAGGUAUCUUCAUCAUUCCUGGUUCUUUUCUUGGUCCGGGUGGGUUAUGCAAUGGUAUUUUUUAUUUGCCCAUUUAUCUGGUACAAGUUAAAAGUAUUACAUGUUAAUAAAUUAUGAACAAAAGCAAAAAAAAAAAAGGGCAGCACCACUCGCGCUGUCUCUUGGUGCGACGGGGUGCUUGUCGCACCAAGAGGCUGCGCCAAGCGCGCGUAGGCUGGCACGCAGCUCGCUCGCGGCAUGCGCAUCUCGCGCACGAGGCAGCAACUGUUGCACGCGAGAUGCGCGCGGCAUGCGCCUAUCCCUUUCCCUUCCCUUUCUCUUCACUUUCUCUUCCCUUUCCUUUCCCACAUGCAUCUCACCCACCACCGCCAUUAAACACCAACAACAGCCCAAACAACAACAACAACAACAACGACAAUAACAACUCACCUAGGGUUUCCAAUUUUUGUCUUUGAUUUUGGAGAUCUCCAAAGAUUUUCAACGUGAUUUAGCUUGUUUCAGCCGCCGACAACUUCCUCCGCUGCCGAUCUAUGCCACUGACGAUGUAUACGGGAUUCCGGUGAUGAGAUUUUGGUGACAGGGGGAGGAAUUUGGUUGAGGGAAACGUGAGAAUGAUGAGGGCAAUUUCGUCCACAAUUUGGUGAUUUGGCUAAUGUUGAUAGAAAAAAUUUGGGGGGGUUAAAAUUGAAAAACGCUAAAAUUGUAUGGCUAUUUUUGUAAAUUUCCCAUUAAUUAUAGGUUAAUGAACUAAACUGAUAUUUUUGUCAAUAGUAGUUAACACGUACAUCAGCUACAAGGGAUAUGACAGAGUCCUAUAAAAAAUAAUAAUAAAAGAAAUCAUUAAUUAAAGAUCUCCAACGCUUCUCCAUAACCCCAAAUUACAAUCUGUUGAAAAGGUCUCAACUAUUUUAUCUCCAAACUCACAAUUGUAUUACCAACUUUUAUUUUUAUUUUUAGGAAAGUAAACCUUGCAUUAUGAGUUAAAAAUAGUCAAUAAUACACUGCUACAAGAAGGCUCAAAUGCAAUACUUAGGAUAACUUAAGUUUCAAGUCUCGUUCACUAUAGAUUUUUUUCUUUAUAACCGAAUUGAAGAGUGGUUUCACACAUUAAGUCUCAAAAGGCAUUGGAAAACAUUUUAUGGAAUGACUACCUAACUCAAAUUUAUAAGGUGAAAUCACAUUUCAUCAAAAAAGAAAAGAAAAAAAAGGAAGACACUAUAAUGCCCCCUACAACUAUACCCACACCUACAACAACCAUUUCAACCACAGUACAACAAGACAAUUUAGCAUCGUAAUACAACCUCACAAUCUGAACUUAAAAUCCAGUGACAUUAUUAAAAGGAAAAACCCGCAACAAAUUGCUCUCCUAGGUGAUUCACUAAUAAACCCACGACGAGUUAUCAGAAACCUUAGCACAUAAACUAUUAGAACCACUCAAUGCCUCUAACACAUGCAUACCCUCUUCGAUUUGCCACUGGGGCGAUGAUACACUUUUCUGUUAGAAAUCAGGAAAUGUACCAAUGGUUGAGCACCCUUCGAGCGAGUGAUGACUCCAGAAUAAGAAAGAAAAGAGAAUAAGACAGAGAUCAUAAAGAGAAGGAAUUUUUCAUUCAUCAGCAUGCCUUACACAAUAUUCCUUUUUGGGAUAUAUAGCCCGUGACUCCUCUAGAGCAUUAAUCUAAGGAUAAAAACAAACAUGAGCUGGCAGUUGUAAAAUAUCUAAAACAAAAUUUAAAUAAUAGCUAAGAAGAAUUAUCCAUCCAUCCUUGCUGUCAUGGUUCACGUGAGGUAGUCUUUCAUCCAGUCUGGUUGUUUCUUGGUUCUCUCAGGUCUAGAAUUGAGUUGUUGAUUUGCUUCUGUAAAAUCAUUACUAGGCUCCUUGUCCACGGGCUUGGCUCCUUCUUCCUCUCUUGGCAAAAUGGUCAGUGGAUCUAAUUUGAUUGGCAAGCUCGUAUCAUUCCCCCUCUCUUGGAAAGUGCAAAGCAAGAUAUUGUUGACAAAAAGCUCCAAAAUUUUCCCAGGUUACGUUUUAAGGAGAGCUACUUGUCCACUGCACAAAGACUUGUGGGACCAAUUUUCCUUUGCUGUAACACUGUGCGAGUAGCAUAAAUAACUGUUGGUAAAGACAAGGGGUGAUUGUCGAUGUUGUAUUUUGGUAGUGGAGAAAUUUUGAGAAGAGUGGAGCCAUGAAAUGGUUUAAGUAAGGAAACAUGAAAAACAUGAUGAAUUUUCGAUGCCGGAGGUAACUCAAGCUUAUAAGCAAUAGGACCUAUGCGAGCGAUUACUGUAAAAGGUCCAUAGUAGCGUUUGGCCAAUUUAUGACAUGAAUGUGAAGCUACUGUGUACUGGCAGUACGAUUGAAGCUUGACCAGCACCUUAUCUCCAACAGAAAACUGAACUUCUCGGCGAUGAGUAUUAACUUUUUGGGUCAUUCGAUGUUGAGCUUGACGCAAGUUAUCUUUCAAAGAUUUCAACAGUUUAUCACGCUCGAGAAGGAUUUCAUCCAAAGCUUGGAUUGAAGUAGAGCUUUUCACAUAAGGAGGAAUUGUGGGCGGAAGUCUACCAAACAAUGCCUGAUAUGGAGUCAUGUUUAAACCGCUAUGGUAGCUGGAAUUGUAACAGAAUUCUGGCCAACUAAGAAGUGAAACCUAAGUCUUCAGUUUGUCUUGUGUGAAGGCACGAAGAUAUUGCUCAAGACUGCGAUUGACAACCUCCAUCUGGCCAUCUGUUUGCGGAUGAUAGGCCGUGCUGUGGUGUAGAGAGGUGCCACUAAGAGUCAACAACCGAUCCCAAAACUGACUCAAGAACACAGGAUCGCGAUCCGAAAUAAUAAAGCUAGGGAAGCCAUGAAUUUUAACCACAAUGUCAAUAAAUAACUCUGUAAUUUUAUGGGCCGUGAAGUUACCUGGUAAUAGACCGAAAUGGGUCGAUUUCGUCAGCCUAUCUACCACAACCAAAAUAGCAGAAUAACCGUGAGACAAAGGCAGUCCUGUGAUGAAAUCCAUAGUGAUUUUGUCCCAAACCAAACUUGGAAUAGGUAAUGGUUAAAGAAGACCAGCAUAGGCUUUAGUUGAAUACUUUGUUUGUUGACAUAUUAAGCAUUCUAUGACAAAUUUUUCAAUAUCACUCCGCAUGUGAAACCAAAAGAAAUUGGCUGACAAUCUAAUGUAAGUCUUGUUGAUGCCAACGUGCCCUGCCAAUGGGGUUGAAUGAAACUCCUUUAAUAAGGCUGCUUUCGAAGAAGAUUCAACACUAAUUUAAUAUUUUCCUUUGUAGAGAAGUAUUCCAUUAUGAAUGGAAUAGUCAGCCGUGAACUGCCCUGAAGAAACUUGGUGAUGAAGCUUGAGAAGGUCAUGACAAAUCGAAUUUUCCCGCAAUAAUUCCUUAAGGAGAUUGAAGGAAGGGCUACUAUGAAGAAAUAAACAAAAAGAGCUCGCAUACUUGUUUUCAAUUGGCUCUAUUUCUUUGGAGGCUGCAUGGACUCGGGAUAAGGCAUUAGUCGUUCGGUUUGUAGGCCCGGUUUAUACUCAAUCCGAAAUUGAAAACCAAGUAACUUCCGCAGAUAAACUUGCUGAUCAGGAGUCUGGAUCACUUGUUGUAGUAGUUCCUUGAUGUUUCGAUGGUCUGUGCGUAUUACAAAGAACCUGCCCAAGAGGUAUUGCCGCCAUUUGGAGACUGCUUCUACAAUCGCAUGCAAUUCUUUUAAGUAAGUGGAUGAAGCUCUUAGUUUUGGCCCAAUUGUUUUUUGCUGAAAUAAGCCACUGGAUAGCCCUAUUGCAUAAGGACUACUCCAAUUCCUAAGUUACUGGCAUCUGAUUCAAUCACGAACUCAGAAUCAAAAUUGGGUAAUUUGAGCACCGGAGCUUGAACCAUUGCUUGCUUAAGGGAUUCAAAUGUUGUUGUGGCUUCAGGAUUCCGUUGAAAUGCAUCUUUACAUAACAAGUCGGUUAAAGGAGCGGCCAAGGAAACGUAGCCAUGAAUGAACCGUCGGUAGUAGCCCGUAAGGCCAAGGAAAUCUCUCAACUGCUUGGUAGUUUGCGGCAGUGGCCACUCGAGCAUGGCGGUCACCUUUUGGGGAUCAGCUUGCACUCCCAUAAUAGAAAUAAUGUGACCAAGAUAUUUAAUGCUUGAUUUACAAAAGAGACAUUUGCUCAAUUUAACAAAAAAAUUAAUGAAUUUGCAAACAUAAUAGUACCUGUUCAAGGUGAAUUAAAUGGUCAGCCAUGGUAGCGCUAUAAACCAAGAUGUCGUCGAAGAAGACGAUCACAAAUUUUCGAAGAUAGGCAGCAAAUAUCUGAUUCAUAGUGGCUUGGAACGUCGAGGGCGCAUUCGUCAAACCAAACGGCAUAACAAGAAAUUCAUAAUGGCCUUUAUGUGUCUGAAAUGCCGUUUUGUAAAUGUCUCAAGAGCGGACUUGAAUCUGAUGGUAUCCAGCUCUCAAGUCUAAUUUACUGAAGACCGUAGCCUUGCCAAGUUCAUCAAAGAGUUCGUCAACAGUAGGAAUCAAAAAUUUAUCUGGGAUUGUAACUACAUUUAGAGCACGAUAAUCCACACAAAAGUGAUAUGUGCCAUCUUUCUUUUUCACUAAAAGCACUGGGGAAGAGAAAGGACUUUGGCUGGGUCAUAUGAUUCCUUGGUCAGACAUCUUUUUAAUUAGUUUCUUCAUUUCAUUCUUCUAGAAGUGUGGAUAUCGGUAGGGGCAUACAUUGAUAGGGGAAGUGUUUGGAAGGAGGUGUAUUUUGUGGUCUAUAAUUCUGUGUGGUGGAAGGGUUGUGGGUGAUAAAAAUAGAUGAUGAUAUUAGUGGAGAAGGUCACGGAAUUGGGGUGGUAAAUCAGUUGGAAAUUCUAAUUGGGAAGGAGGUGUUUGUCUUGGAGAGGACUCUAUUGGCAAUGAAGAUAAAGGUUGAAGAGCACAAAAACUUGAAAUUGCAAUGCUGUGGACCAGUGCCCUAAAUUGAUUAUAAGUGACUAAAGUUGGAGAUGUAGAUACGUCACCUCGAAGAAUAAUCGAUUUUUCAUUAAAAGAAAAUUCCAUGGAGAGCGCCGAAUAAUCAUGCGAUACCCUCCCUAAUUGUUGCAACCACUGUAUCCCAAGAACAAUGUCAACUCCCUUGAUAGGCAAGACAAAAAGGUCCAAUGGAAACUUUGUGCCUUGUAGUGUUAAGUGAACUUGCUGACAAAAUUGAGUGCACAACAAAAAAUCACCAUUUCCUAUGUAGACGCGAAAUGGUGUUGUUGGCUGAAUGGCGAUGUCGGCGCAUUCCGCCACUGAUGGCUUGAUAAAGUUAUGAGUGCUACCAUUGUCGAUUAAUACUUGGAAGGUGUGGUAUCCAAUCCUGCCCUGUAAACGAAGGGAACGAGGAUUUGCUUGUCCAGCGAGAGCAUUUAGACUUGAGAUAUCGCCAGUGACAGCGGAUUCGUCUUCGUCUGGUGGUUCCCCUUUUUUGGUCGGGUCUAAAUUAUCAUCGUCGGCUCUGAUAAGUAACAAGAACCAGUGACAGUAACGGUGAUUGGGAUUGUACUUCUGGUCACAAGAGUAACAGAGACCUUUCUCGCGUCUCUCGUGUAGCUCAGUAGGGGAUAAUUGACGGAUGGGUAAAUUUGGAGUGGGGAGAAGUGCGGGUAAAAUGUUUGUUUUAUUGUUAAUGUGUGGUGGUGGAGGUUUUGAUGAUGGUGGGUUAGCACUUAUGGUGGAGGAAAUUGGAAGGGAAGGCAUGGGUAAAGGAACGGUUUUGGUUUAUGUGUUUGUAAUGGAAGGAAAUAUUGACUGUGGCUGCCAUUUAGACUAGGAGCAAUUGUGUUGUUUAGUGUCAUUAAAUUUGGCUUUAAGCGCUCGAGCCAUAGCAAAGGUUUCCACGAGUGUUGCUGGCCGAUUAAAGAGAAGUUCUCGCCUGAUGUCCUGCUGCAGGCCGGUUAUGAAAAAAACUGAUGAGAAGUUGCUCGGAAACGCCAUUAACUCUGUUCAUGAGUUAUUCAAAAGCCGAUUGAAAUUCAACGACAGUGGUGGUUUGGGUGAGUUUAGACAGCUCGCCUUGUGGAUCAUCAUAAAGGGUAGUUGCAAAACGAUACUUCAGAUUAGCCAAAAAUUCUUUCCAAGUUGUGAGUAAAUUGUUGGAUUUCAUCCACUGAUACUAGCCUACUGCUCGACCCUCCAUGUGAAAGGAAACGAUACGGAGGCAUUGAUGUUCUGGAGUACCAUGAAACUCGAAAAACUCCUCCACUCGAAAUAAUCAGCCGUAUGGAUCAGAGCCAUCAAAACGUGGAACUUCCAUCUUCAUGGAUUUGACCAUAGGAGAGAUAUCUCGCUCGUCGAAUGGAAUAGAUGAAAGUGGUGGCACUACUAGUGGUUGUUUUAAAGAACCAGCCACAUUUGUUGGAGACUCACGUAUUUUAGAUAGAAAUUCAGCAAAACGGGAAUCUACUGCAGUCAUAAAUUGCUGCAUCAUCUAGUGAAAGGAUAAGGCUUGUUUGUCAAUUUUCUCACUAAGUUCCUUUAAUGUGAUGCUCUCAUUAGAAUCGGCCAUGGAAAGAGUCAAUGAAAGCACCAAUGAUAUACUUUUCUACUAGAAAUCAAGAAAUGUACCAAUGGUUGAACACUCUUCGAGCGAGUGACGGCUCCAUAAUAAGAAAGAAAAGAGAAUAAGACAGAGAUUAGAAAGAGAAGGAAUUUUUUAUUCAUCAGCAUGCCUUACACAAUAUUCUUUUUUGGGAUAUAUAGCCCGUGACUCCUCUAGAGCAUUCUAAGGAUAAAAACAAACAUGAGCUGGCAAUUGUAAAAUAUCUAAAACAGAAUUUAAAUAAUAGCUAAGAAGAAUUAUCCAUCCAUCAUUGCUGCCAUGGUUUACGUGAGAUAGUCUUUCAUCCAGCCUGACUGUUUCUUGGUUCUCUCAGGUCUAGAAUUGAGCUGUUGAUUUGCUUCUGCAAAAUCAUUACUGGGCUCCUUGUCCACGGGCUUGGCUCCUUCUUCCUCUCUUGGCAAAAUGGUCAGUGGAUCCAAUUUGAUUGGCAAGCUCGUAUCAGCGACACCAUCAACAGUUACCCAAACUACCUCCUGGAAUCGCAGAGACAACAACCAGCAAACUGAACACCAACCAACAGUAACAAAUAAUAAUCUAGAAAUACAAAUAUAAAGAUACAAUAAUGGAAAUAAAUGAAAAGUAGAGAUAAAAACAGAAAAAUAAAAUAAAAACGAAAAAAUUUAAAAAUACCAGUACCGG